GAUGAACGCUGGCGGCGUGCCUAAUACAUGCAAGUCGAGCGAACAGACGAGGAGCUUGCUCCUCUGACGUUAGCGGCGGACGGGUGAGUAACACGUGGAUAACCUACCUAUAAGACUGGGAUAACUUCGGGAAACCGGAGCUAAUACCGGAUAAUAUAUUGAACCGCAUGGUUCAAUAGUGAAAGACGGUUUUGCUGUCACUUAUAGAUGGAUCCGCGCCGCAUUAGCUAGUUGGUAAGGUAACGGCUUACCAAGGCGACGAUGCGUAGCCGACCUGAGAGGGUGAUCGGCCACACUGGAACUGAGACACGGUCCAGACUCCUACGGGAGGCAGCAGUAGGGAAUCUUCCGCAAUGGGCGAAAGCCUGACGGAGCAACGCCGCGUGAGUGAUGAAGGUCUUCGGAUCGUAAAACUCUGUUAUUAGGGAAGAACAAAUGUGUAAGUAACUAUGCACGUCUUGACGGUACCUAAUCAGAAUGCCACGGCUAACUACGUG
rnacentral:rRNA from 1 species